rnacentral:lncRNA from 1 species
UGCUUCUCGAGCAUUCUCCCUUCUGUUUUGAACUAGAUGCUUCAGUUUGUUUCUUUGAAGUGGCUGAAUCUUCGAGCUCUCCCAAUGCCUGAAAUAAUUGUUUUUUCAAGUCCUCUUUGGGAACUGAUUUAAACAGAUCUUUAAAAAGUUCAGAUACAUUAGGAGUUUUAGUUUGAGACUGAAGAGUGUUUGAUUUUUUAACCAAACUGAUUAAUCCCCUUUUAUGGUAAACAGAUGGGCUUCCAAAAAAUUCAAAUUUGUCCCACCAUUUAAUCAUAAUUCUUCUAGUCAACCACAGGAUUUUUUCAAGAGAAAACUCGUUAAAUUGGCGUAGUGUCCUAUUUUUCCGCAUUUAUAACAUACCACAGUUUUCUCUGCUUUGCCACUUUUAGGGCUGUGCUUUCUCCUUUUAGGAGAUGCUUUCUUUGCCUGAGAAGUUUUGUGUCUGUUUUGCUUAAACCUAUUAGGUUUAUAGUAUUGGUGCCUUUUCUGGUGCUUCAGGUGGUGCUCUCUACCCCCCUUAAAUUUCCUAGAGUAAGGAAAUUUGAGUGGUUGAAAUCCAAUUUGUUCACAGAAGUUGCCAAGGAUUUGUCUGCCAUGUAGUCGUUCCUUCUGCAUUUGCUUAUGAAUUUUUAAUUCAUUACACAAUGCUACUCCAGCUGUCACAACUUCUGACGCCAAUUCUCCAUAGGUAUAAAUAUUGUAAGGAAUCGUCCCUUCGUGUUUGGCUUUUAUUUGAUCUUUGACCCGUUCAGCGAAAAGAGAGGGAAGUCCCGCCAAGAGCUUCUCUUUCCAAAAGUUAUGUUGAUUGUCCACCCUGGUGAAGAUCAGGGAGAAGAAGGUAUUCUUAUACCAUUUGAAAUGAGACAAGUCAGGGCACUUCAAAUUCAUCAAUUGUUCUUGUGAUCUGUCUGCGUACAUACUGGCCGACCCAAUGAAGUGUAACCCUAUAGUGUAUAAUAGGGUAUUGACACAGUCACGUACUUGACUGGCGCCUUCCAGUUUGGUGGUGCUGAAGAUUUUGGGUUUUACCCUCGGCAGAGACUGAAAAAUCCCACCAACCUUUUAGUUGGCCUGUGAAGCCUGCUAUUAAGGCUCUUGUAAUAGUCGGAUCAUCAUUUCCCUUGUUUCUGCAUGCUGUUGCGUACAUGGUCAUGUGUUGAAGGACAUUUUUGAUCUGGUUGCGUACAUGGUCAUGUAUUGAAGGACAUUUUUGAUCUGAUAAUCUGACAAUCCGUCAAUAUUCCAUUCAUUAAUGGAAGUUCCAUCGACUUGUACGAAGUUAUAGCUGGUAUCUUCGUACUGCAGAUUUAUCGGCGAUGGUCUAGGAUAAUACGGCUUUAUUUCCAUAGUCGCCUGUGGUUUAGGAUACGUUAUCCUGUUGAGCUCACUUGGUUCUGACGCUUUUAGCAUCGAUUCUACUUGAUUAAUGUAUGCUUCAUCUGUAGUUGAAGACUCUUCAUCAGAGGAUUCAGGGGUCUCUGAUUCUGGUUCCAUAGUUAAUGGAACGAUAGAUUUUUUAGUGACGUCUCCUCCUAGAGCGAUCUUUGCCAAUCUUUUAGUUAGCUCAUCAAUCAUUUCUGCUCGGUCGUCGACUUUCAAACCUGUAAUUUUGGUUUCCAUAGGCAUGAAAAGGACCUUUUCUUCCUUCUUGGUACCAGAAGUUUCUCCUUUCUCUCUUUUAGGAAGGAAUUCUGAAGGGGCUUUUAGCCGAGAAACUUGACUUUCUACCCUAUUCAAUUGUUGGCCGAUGGUAUGGAGACUUAAAAUUAGUGAAAUUU